rnacentral:rRNA from 1 species
AGAUUAAGUUAUUAAGGGCGCACGGUGGAUGCCUUGGCACUAGAAGCCGAUGAAGGACGUUACUAACGACGAUAUGCUUUGGGGAGCUGUAAGUAAGCUUUGAUCCAGAGAUUUCCGAAUGGGGAAACCCAGCAUGAGUUAUGUCAUGUUAUCGAUAUGUGAAUACAUAGCAUAUCAGAAGGCACACCCGGAGAACUGAAACAUCUUAGUACCCGGAGGAAGAAAAAGAAAAUUCGAUUCCCUUAGUAGCGGCGAGCGAAACGGGAAGAGCCCAAACCAACAAGCUUGCUUGUUGGGGUUGUAGGACACUCUAUACGGAGUUACAAAGGACGACAUUAGACGAAUCAUCUGGAAAGAUGAAUCAAAGAAGGUAAUAAUCCUGUAGUCGAAAAUGUUGUCUCUCUUGAGUGGAUCCUGAGUACGACGGAACACGUGAAAUUCCGUCGGAA